GACGAACGCUGGCGGCGUGCUUAACACAUGCAAGUCGAACGGAGUUACGUAUGAAGUAUUUCGGUACGGACUAUGUAACUUAGUGGCGAACGGGUGAGUAACACGUGGGCAACCUGCCCUUAACCGGGGGAUAACAUUGUGAAAACAGUGCUAAUACCGCAUAACAGAGUAUCGGGCAUCCGAUUAUUUUAAAGGAGCAAUCCGGUUUAGGAUGGGCCCGCGUACCAAUUAGCUAGUUGGUGAGGUAACGGCUCACCAAGGCUACGAUUGGUAGCCGAACUGAGAGGUUGAUCGGCCACAUUGGGACUGAGACACGGCCCAGACUCCUACGGGAGGCAGCAGUGGGGAAUAUUGGGCAAUGGGCGAAAGCCUGACCCAGCGACGCCGCGUGAAGGAUGAAGGUCUUCGGAUUGUAAACUUCUUGAUCAGGGAAGAAAGAAUGACGGUACCUGAAGAACAAGCCACGGCUAACUACGUG
rnacentral:rRNA from 1 species